CAUUAUACAGCCCCAUGUGGUAUUAACAUCACUGUCUUCCGGGAGACGUGACCAGUCCUGUUUUUCCUUUGCUGUGGUCAGGUUACCUGGACAGGGAUUAGAUGCAGGAAAAGUUUUGGGCCCUACAUCAAUUUAAAACAUCCUUAAGGAUGAAUACCAGUCAGCUGGUGACCUGAGGCUUCUGCAGCAUCGGAAAAGAUGGCACUACCCAUGUUUCUUGAGACCUGACCAGCUUCUGCUCGAGCAGAUGGUAAGCAAAAGCAGCACCUUGAAGAGUUGAAGAAAACCAACCAGAAAAUGGUCAUGGAAGGGUUUCCAAACGUGAGGGGGUCAUCCUCUCCACCUCUGUGUCAGUGUGUGAUGCAAUCUUCUCUCUCCUGCUCUUCAUUGCUAGGACACUCUCUACUUCACUCUUUGUAGAACAGAUUUCUUUUUGUUCCUUCAAGUCUUAGCUGCCUCAGUCCAGUUUUCCUUGGUGACCCUCCUAGGUCAGUCUACUUUAUUAUUCUCCACUAUGUUACGCUUCCAAGCCAUUUACAGCACGCAUCACAAUAUGCAAUUCCUAUGUAUUUUUGUUUGCUUCCUUAUUAUUAUCUUGCUUAUAGAAUGCAAAAUCCAUGAAGGUUGAGGCCAUGUCUGUUUAU